UCCACUUAUCUCUUUGGUGUC
rnacentral:piRNA from 1 species